CAGCACCAUCUCUGCAGCAUCUCUGUAGGCUCACCAUUAACAAAUGUACCGGUGCCAUCUGGGGACUGCCUUUACCAACAAGACUAAAAGAUUACUUGGAAGAAUAUAAAUUCCAGCCAGCUGUUUUUUAUCCUGGUUAGAAGAAUUUUGUGUUUUCUUUUAGCUAUGGAUCUUUGAACAUUACCCUAUGAUCGAAGAGUUUUGAGUUGGGUUUUUAGAUGUUGGUUGUCAUGGAGAAACAGGAAUCUGGUGUAUGCCAGCCAUCAUCAUCAUCAUCAUAACCCUUUGGAUGAAUUUUCAUUAUCAAGGGAUCUGGAAGGCUGUCUUCGCUCUGCUUCCCAGCUAACAAACAGAUGUGUUCCCAGAAGAUGAUGGGCAUAGGGUGUGUUUUUGCAAGUCAUUUUUCCCAUUUACGUAGAUUAUUCUUAUUUCCAAUUGAUCCUCAAUAGAUAAGAGUGCCAUUGAGCUUUAUUUUCAUCUGUCAGGCAAUUAAGAAAAAAGUAAAGGAAACAAAAAAGCUAUAAUAUACUAAGGAAAUUCUUAGAUUCUUUGGUAAAAUUAAAAGAAUCUUGGUGCAUGAA
rnacentral:lncRNA from 1 species